GGUCGCUUAGCUCAAUUGGCCAGAGCACUUCGUUUACAUCGAAGGGGUUGGGGGUUCAAGUCCCUCAGCGACCA
rnacentral:tRNA from 1 species